UCGAGAAUCUUCGGCAAUGGGCGCAAGCCUGACCGAGCGACGCCGCGUGUGCGAUGAAGGCCUUCGGGUUGUAAAGCACUGUCGAGGGGGAGGAAGCCGCAAGGUUGACCUAUCCCUGGAGGAAGGACGGGCUAAGUUCGUGCCAGCAGCCGCGGUAAGACGAACCGUCCUAACGUUGUUCGGAAUCACUGGGCUUAAAGGGCGCGUAGGCGGGCCAUCAAGUCGGGGGUGAAAUACUUCGGCUUAACCGGAGAACAGCUUUCGAUACUGGUGGCCUAGAGGGAGGUAGGGGUCUGUGGAACUUCCGGUGGAGCGGUGAAAUGCGUUGAUAUCGGAAGGAACGCCGGUGGCGAAAGCGACGGACUGGACCUCUUCUGACGCUGAGGCGCGAAAGCUAGGGGAGCAAACGGGAUUAGAUACCCCGGUAGUCC
rnacentral:rRNA from 1 species